rnacentral:lncRNA from 1 species
GUAUCAUGAUUUGCCACUUGAUUCCGAAGACCAAACUUCCCUAUGAUUUGUUGAUUCGCAUCGAUAGAACCAAUUUUGUGCCACAUACAUAGCGCGAAUCCUGAGCUUCCUGUUACCGAUAGGCAUCAAUCCAAGUCGCUGAGGGACUAAUAGUUCGCCUUUGGAAUGAAGAUGGAUGAGCAGGUUCGUGACCCGAUCUCCUGCACAGAUUCUAAAUCAAUAUGCAUUGAAUGAAGGAAUAUUCCCAGGCCAAUAUUGGGUAAGCCAAGGGUUGCGUUCACGGAUCAAGUCAUUUCAUAUAUGAUGUUCCCGAUCCUGAUGACCUGCAUACGAUGUCACGCUAGGAGAAGGAAGGCUGAUCAUAGAUCAGCUCGCCUCGCUUUGAAAAAAAUAAAUCAUCGCAACCAAAAAGACAACCAUUUGUAUUGAAAUCCGUUCGAUAGGAGGUAUAGGAUGGAACCAAAUCUGCUUCGCGAGGGUCUCAUUCGCAUGACUAAAAGAAAGCUUUAGCUAAUCGACGGCAUGCUAAGGAGAAGGAGCUUCCUUAGUAGGAAAAGAAAGGCAUGUACGUGGGAAAUGAAUCGAAGUAAUGCGAUAGAUUCGCAGGAAUGAACGAAGAAAAAGCAUUAAGACAAUUCCACAUCUUUUAUUUAUGUUAGAAGGUGCAGAACAUUAGAAGUAAGUGGGCCUCUGGCCACACUACCAACCCUCGCUACGGCUUCUUUUGAAGCUAUAGUUCUCACGCAUUCUAGCUUCAAGAUCUGGCUUGAGCUUUGAGCGUGAAGCAGCUUGCUGAGAUCAAAUGAGAUAUCCCAACCUUUGAUUGUCAAACUUGCAGUUCCCAUGAACCAAGCACAGGAUGGAUGGUGUACCAAUCAAUUUCGUUGGGAAGAUGGCAAGGAUGAAAGAAGGAUAUAGAGAGAGAGAUAGGAAAAAGAGUAUGGAAGCGAGAGCGGAGAUAUAGGCUAGCUAAAUGCCCUAAAAUCCGUGUACGAAAGGGCCCGCGAUCCUGGGCAGUACAUGGAUAACCCGGACCCACCAAGCGCUUAGGAAUGUGUUGUGAAGGUGGAAUAGAGUUUGCCAUUGAAAUGAUGACUUCUGGUGUUGUCAAGUUUGAAGGACAGAAUGCUAACGAACCGGGGCUACAGCACCUGUUUAUCUCGAAUCCCCUGAAUCAGAUGUGGGGAAAGGAGGAGUCGGAGCUUAUCAACCAUAGGAAUGCCCGAUCGACUUUACUUUACGAGCUACGAGGUCUCUUUUAGCACACUUGACUUAUCUUAUUGCGUAUACAAUAAUCACUGAGCAUACGUUGCUAAUGGGCAGGUCAAUUCUGAGAAUCGUAUCAGAGAUCGAACUGCGGUAUCUUGGCGAGGGGUGCCUCAUAUGAGUGGUUAAGAUAGGCCUUAAAAUGCAAUAAUGAGCCCAUACAAUGAGCUCGCCGCAUGCACGUUUGCAUGCGCGAGCGAGCCCCUACUGAAGCAGCACAAUGCUCCUCAUCGCUCCUAACCUUUAAACAGAGAGGAAACUCAAAACCAUAGAACGAAGGAAGCAGCAACUCCAGGAGAAAUAUAUUAAAAUAACCACACCUCCCUGCACUCGGCUUGCCCUACCGUGUCGUUAGAUGGUUUGAGUGGCUAUCAAAUGGGU